rnacentral:lncRNA from 1 species
CUAGUGUUUGCAGGGAAGUCAGUCGCAACCCCAGCGAUCUCCUUCUUUGUCAACAAGGCAUUCAGCUACCUGAACAAGUACCACAAGUCUGAAGGAUUGGGAGACAUGAAGAAAAGGCUGAAGAUGAACAUACCCAAGAUCCAAUCAGUGAUCGAUGUAGUUGAUCCUGAUUACAUCAAGGAGAGGAGUGAAGACCUUGAUACAUGGCUGUGGCAGCUCAGGGAUGCAGUUGAGAAGGCUGAGGAUGCUAUCGAUGAGCUUGAGUACUACGAGCUCAAAGAGAAGCAAAAGGAUCUAAAGUCUGUUAAGCAUGUUAAAAUGUUGGGUAAGACAUCUGAUUCCCCUCUCAAGAGGUUAAAGAAAGCCAUGGAAGAUUUAGAUGAGGCUGCUAAAGGUGUUGAGAAUUUUCUUACAGUAGUAGAUCAAAUCACGAGACCCAAUUUAAACAAUCCACAACGGCAUCAUUCGAUCAGUAGUUACCGUGAGACAGGAAGGAUGUUAACUGCUGAUAGGGUGUUUGGCAGAGAAAAUGAGAAGGAACGGAUUGUUGGAUGGUUGACUAUUGGCCAUGGCGGCAUAGGGAAAACCACUUUGGCUCAGCUUAUCACCAAAGACAACAGGAUCAAGGAACAUUUUAAAACCGUGAUUUGGGUUUCUGUCUCUACAAAUUUUCAUGCAGAAACAUUGAUAAGUAAAAUAAUACAAUCUGUUACAUUAUCAAAACCUAGUUUCGAUACCUACGAUGCACUACAAGAACAUUUGGCAAGGACACUUGAGACCAUUAAAUAUCUUCUCAUUCUAGAUGAUGUCUGGGAAGAUAAGGAAAUCUCUGAGUGGGAAAAACUAUUUGCCUCUUUGAGAACAGGAGUGUAUGGGAGGAAGAUUUUGUUGACAACCCGAAUGCAAUCAGUGGCAGAUUUAGCAUCAGCUGUAAUGAGAUGUGAAAGGGAGCGCCUUCCAUUAUGUGGACUUGAAGAAACUGAAAAUUUAGAACUUUUUAACCAUCAUGUCUUCACCUAUCCAGAUCCCCAAAAAUUUGAAGAAUUACAAGAAGCUGGAGAAAAAAUUGCAAAGAAACUAAGAGGGUGUCCCUUGGUAACAAAGGUUAUUGCUGGGCAUCUACGGGAGGACAUGACAGUUCAAUUCUGGAAUAAAUUCUUGGAUGAGCAGCUGGGUUAUUUUGAUGGAGGUAUGGAAGAUAUCAUGAAAGUUCUGAAAAUGUGGAUAGCUUCAGGAUUGAUCUCCCAGACAACAGGUGAAGCUGAAAAUGCACGGGAUGUUGCAGAAGAGUGCUUAGCUCAACUAACUAGAAAGUCAUUCUUUAAUCUCAAAUUAAGAAACUUUCACUUUGAAAGGAAUGAAUGCCAUGAAUACUAUGUGAUGCAUGACUUAAUGCAUGAUUUGGCAACAUGGGUUUCUUCAGGUGAAUGUGCAAGAAUCUUUGACGCUAAUGGCUCCAAGAAAGUAAAAAGAACAGUACGUCACCUAUCUGUUGUUGGUAUUAAUAGUUUUCCAGCUGACAUCAUUAAAAGUUUCUCCCGGUUCAAAAAUCUCCGCACCAUUGUCUUUGAAGAUUGCCAUGAUAUCCAGGACAAUACUGUAUGUUCAGUGGAAGAAGUUGUAGAGACCUUAAAAGCCCUGCGUGUCGUGAAAUCUCACUUAUUCAGUAGAUGUCACUUCCCUGGCAAAUUUGCUAAUCUAAAGCACCUUCGUUAUGUGAGUGUCUCGUUCAAUUAG